rnacentral:rRNA from 1 species
UUAUUGGGUCUAAGGGUCCGUAGCCGGUUUGAUCAGUCUUCCGGGAAAUCUGACAGCUCAACUGUUAGGCUUCUGGGGGAUACUGUCAGACUUGGAACCGGGAGAGGUAAGAGGUACUACAGGGGUAGGAGUGAAAUCUUGUAAUCCUUGUGGGACCACCAGUGGCGAAGGCGUCUUACCAGAACGGGUUCGACGGUGAGGGACGAAAGCUGGGGGCACGAACCGGAUUAGAUACCCGGGUAGUCCCAGCCGUAAACGAUGCUCGCUAGGUGUCUGGGAUGGUGCGACCGUUUCAGGUGCCGCAGGGAAGCCGUGAAGCGAGCCACCUGGGAAGUACGGCCGCAAGGCUGAAACUUAAAGGAAUUGGCGGGGGAGCACUACAACGGGUGGAGCCUGCGGUUUAAUUGGACUCAACGCCGGAAAACUCACCUGGGGCGACAGCAAUAUGUAGGUCAGGCUGAAGGUCUUACCUGAAUCGCUGAGAGGA